rnacentral:rRNA from 1 species
AUUGAACGCUGGCGGAAUGCUUUACACAUGCAAGUCGAACGGCAGCACGGGGGCAACCCUGGUGGCGAGUGGCGAACGGGUGAGUAAUACAUCGGAACGUGCCCAUGUCGUGGGGGAUAACUACGCGAAAGCGUAGCUAAUACCGCAUACGAUCUACGGAUGAAAGCGGGGGAUCGCAAGACCUCGCGCGAUUGGAGCGG